UGGUGCACAUUGCUAUCGAGAGGACUCGAUUGCAACUCAGAGGCUGGCAAGUUUAUCCCACAUCUAGAUUUAGCAAGUCCAGGCUGCACUAGAAAAAGAAAAGAAAGGAAGCGUUUGGCUGUGGCAGCUCUGUCCGCCGUUCAUUGACUCCAUUCCCGGCGGCAGGAAUCUCGAAGUCGAGGUCCACUCUGAAGUUAUGAAGACAAGAAGAAUGCACACCAGGAAGAAGCCGCGCUAUGCACCGCAGGCGGCGUACGUAAGCUCGCGAUGUUCGCUAUACGUGACUACACUUUACAGUUUACACUGGAUGGAGGGCCUGGGAAAGAGAGGAAGAAAGAUGGGGAGGCGAGCAGCGACCAGCUGUGCUGUCAGCUGAUCUCAGACCGAGUUCUAGACAGGCAGGCAGCAGCCAUUGAGCCAGCCCUUGUAAAGAUGACGUGUAUCCCUGCCCUGUCAUGUUUUCCGCCUUUCUCGCCGUCUCAACUGUCAUGCAGCACCAUGACUCGCCACACAGGUUUCAGUCAUGAAGUUUGUGGUGGAGCAUGUGAACAAGGAUUGAGGACGGCUAGGCAGGCUGGGUGGUCUCCGCAGCCAGCCUGACAGUAUCCACACCACUCCACUCUCCCUUAUUUUCACCAAGGGAGGCAGUGCAACACAUCUCAUGCAGAUAAAGUCAUGCUUUUGGAGGUCCAGCGGCACACUGCUUUCAUAAAUGUGUGAGCAGACUGCAAGACAGAGAGGGGCAAGGAUGGAGGAUGCUUCAACAUUCACAGCAUCAUUGGUUCAUUCUUUCAUAUUCAUAGAUUUCAUGACAUUGUGUUGACCUCUGCAUCAAAUCACUUCAUUACAUGUAAGCGUAUAUUUAGCUACAAGGAGUAACAGUUUAUGAAAUUUGUAAUGUAUGAAAAGUGGCUUAUGAGAGAUCUUGCAUUAUGAAGAUUUGUAUAAAGGUAUUUGUUUCUUAGCAUGAUAUUGUUGUGUCAGUCUUGAGUCCAAAUUGUACAGACAUGAACCAUUGUCCAUUGUACUUACUACAGAUGGAAUUUCAAUCAACACUGCAAGGUGUGUGUGUAUUUACCUAGUUGUAUUUACCUAAUUGUAUUGUACAGGGUUUGAGUGGGGCUCAUAGUGUCCAGUCUCCAUAUCUGCAUUUAUCUAAUUUUUCUUUACCAUAGUGUCCUGUCUCCACAUCUCCAUUUAUCCAAUUUUUCUGUAAAAUUAUGCACAUUAUGUGCUGUAGUAACUUCAUCACUCAAUGUAUUCCACUCUUCACUGUUCUAUGUGGAAAACUAUAUUUUCCAGUAUCCUUCACACACUGUCUCAUCUUAAUCUUCUUUACAUGUCCUCUUGUUCUAGCUUUUUGUAUCACCAGCACCAUUUACUAUUUUAUACAUUGUUAUUAGGUCUCCUCAUUUUCUUCUAUCUUGUAAGGUUGACAGUCCCAUUUCCUUCAGCCUUUCUUCAUAUGUUAGGCCCUUUAGUUCCAGCACCAUCUCUGUAGGUAUCUGGAUCCGUUCUAAUCUUCUUAUAUCUUUAAAUAUUAGAGGUCGGUGACCACACCACUGCUGCAUAUUCCAGCUUAGGGCGUAACAUGCCUGUAAUAAUUUUUUUCAUCAUUAUCUUUGUUCAUGGAUUGGAAUGCUACUCUGAUAUUAGUCAACAAUUUAUAUGCUAAUCCAAAUAUCUUACUUGUGUGUUUUCCAGGGUUCAGAUUUUCUUGUAUAAUCACUCCUAGAUAUUUUUUCUCCUUAGUCUUCAUUAUUUGUUCCUCUCCCAUCAGAUAGUUCCAUACCGGUCUUCUCUUACUCUUUCCUAGUUCCAUUUCUUGGCAUUGAACCCUUAUUUCCACUUCUUACUCCACUCAUAGAUUUUGUUUAUAUCAUCCUGCAGCAGCAAACAGUCCUCACAAGUUUUGAUUGCUCUUAGCCAUUUUGCAUCAUCAGCAAACAAAUUGAUAUAACUGUUUACCCCAUUUACAUAUAUCUGGAACAUAAUAAGGGCUAACAUUGUCCCUUGUGGCACUCCAUUUGUUACUUUACCCCAAGAUGAGUAUGUAUCUGAUUGCAGUUCUCAUCUCUUUGUCCUUCAAAUAAUCCCUUAUCCAAUCUAACAAAGUUCCUGUCAGUCCUUCUAUGCUCUUGAACUUCCAAAGUAGUCUGCUGUGAAGGUCUUUAUCAGAAGCCUUUUUUAUGUCCAGGUAUACUGUGUCCACCCAUCCAUCUCUGUUUUCCAGUCCUUCUAUUACUCUUGGGUAGAAACUGUUUGACACACAUGACCGUCUUGUCUUGAACCCAAAUUGUCCAUUCGAUAUAACUUGCUCUUUUCCCAGAUAUAUAUUUUUUUUUUACGACUUUCACAUAACUUUCCCACAACACUCGUAAGUGACACUGGUCUGUAAUUUAAUGGGUCAGUUGACUUUCCUCCAUUGAAUAUUGGGAUUAUGUUGGCUCUCUUCCAUCACAGUGGUACUCUCCCUUCUUUUCAUGAACUUGUAAUCAUUUCCUAAAUUGUAUCUAACAGGUGCUCUUUACAUUCUUUUUAGCGUCCAGCCUGAUACACCAUCCAGCCCCAUUGCUUUUCUGACAUCCAAAUUACCUAGUAAUCUUCCAGUAUCUUCUUUGUGCACUAUGAUUUCCUGCAAUUCUUGGCAAUGCAAUGUCCUACUUGGUUCUGCA
rnacentral:lncRNA from 1 species